CGAGGAAUAUUGCCCAAUGGGGGAAGCCCUGAGGCAGCAACGCCGCGUGAACGAAGACGGCCUUCGGGUUGUAAAGUUCUUCUCUGGGGGACGAUGAUGACGGUACCCCAGGAAUAAGUUCCGGCUAACUACGUGCCAGCAGCCGCGGUAAAACGUAGGGGACAAGCGUUAUCCGGAUUUACUGGGCGUAAAGCGCACGUAGGCGGUGAGGUAAGUUGGCCGUGAAAGCUCCCGGCUUAACUGGGAGAGGUCGGGCAAAACUGCCCCACUUGAGGCUGAGAGAGGAGAGCGGAAUUCCCGGUGUAGUGGUGGAAUGCGUAGAUAUCGGGAGGAACACCAGUGGCGAAGGCGGCUCUCUGGCUCAGAACUGACGCUGAGGUGCGAAAGCGUGGGGAGCGAACGG
rnacentral:rRNA from 1 species